rnacentral:lncRNA from 1 species
UAAUCUUGAUGAUUCAGUCGUAAGCAAUAUACCUUUAUUAAAUAAUUGUAUGGCAUAUUUAUUUAACGAAAUACGUUAUGAAUUGAACGGUAAUGAAAUUGAUCGAACGCGACAUUUGGGUGUGACAACUGAUUUGAAAAAUGACUUACCAAUAAAUCAAAAUCAACAGCUUGUAUUAAAAAAUUAUGGAUGGUCAAUUGAUGAUGAUAUAAAAAUGGAAAAAGGAAACUUUAAUUUUUGCAUACUGUUGAGCAUGGUUACUUGGAUUUGCAGAAGAUUAUAACAAGAUAUUACUCAAAGGAAAGCAUGAACUUAUUCUAUUACGAGAAAUGAAUAAUGAUGCUGCAAACAUCUCAAAAUUGAAGAUGACAUUUUCUAGCAUUGUAUGGAAAAUACCUCAUGUACAAUUGUCUGAUGCUUAUAAA